CAAUAGCGUAUAUUAAAGUUGUUGCGGUUAAAAAGCUCGUAGUUGGAUUUCUGCUGAGGACGACCGGUCCGCCCUCUGGGUGAGUAUCUGGCUCGGCCUUGGCAUCUUCUUGGAGAACGCAACUGCACUUGACUGUGUGGUGUGGUAUCCAGGACUUUUACUUUGAGGAAAUUAGAGUGUUCACGGCAGGCAAUCGCCUUGAAUAUAUUAGCAUGGAAUAAUAAUAUAGGACCUUGGUUCUAUUUUGUUGGUUUCUAGGACUAAGGUAAUGAUUAAUAGGGAUAAUUGGGGGCAUUUGUAUUAACGCGUCAGAGGUGGAAUUCUUGGAUUGCGUUACGACAAACUACUGCGAAAGCAUUUGCCAAGGAUGUUUUCAUUGAUCAAGAACGAAAGUAUGGGGAUCGAAGACGAUUAGAUACCAU
rnacentral:rRNA from 1 species